GACGAACGCUGGCGGCGUGCUUAACACAUGCAAGUCGAACGGAAAGGCCCUGCUUUUGUGGGGUGCUCGAGUGGCGAACGGGUGAGUAACACGUGAGUAACCUGCCCUUGACUUUGGGAUAACUUCAGGAAACUGGGGCUAAUACCGGAUAGGAGCUCCUGCUGCAUGGUGGGGGUUGGAAAGUUUCGGCGGUUGGGGAUGGACUCGCGGCUUAUCAGCUUGUUGGUGGGGUAGUGGCUUACCAAGGCUUUGACGGGUAGCCGGCCUGAGAGGGUGACCGGGCAGGGUGGGACUAGGAUACGGCCGAGGCUGCUACGGGAGGCAGCAGUGGGGAAUGGUGGACGACGGGCGGAAGCCUGAAGCAGCAAUGCCGCGUGGGGGAUGACGGCGUUCGGGUUGUAAACCGCUUUAGACUGUGACGAAGCGUGAGUGACGGUAAUGGGUAAAGAAGCACAGGCUAACUACGAG
rnacentral:rRNA from 1 species